CAGUAGCCACGGGAAUACAGAGGGUGCGAGCGUUAAUCGGAUUUACUGGGCGUAAAGCGUGCGUAGGCGGCUUUUUAAGUCGGAUGUGAAAUCCCUGAGCUUAACUUAGGAAUUGCAUUCGAUACUGGGAAGCUAGAGUAUGGGAGAGGAUGGUAGAAUUCCAGGUGUAGCGGUGAAAUGCGUAGAGAUCUGGAGGAAUACCGAUGGCGAAGGCAGCCAUCUGGCCUAAUACUGACGCUGAGGUACGAAAGCAUGGGGAGCAAACAGGAUUAGAUACCCCGGUAGUCCCUGUCUCUUAUAC
rnacentral:rRNA from 1 species